rnacentral:rRNA from 1 species
CGUGUAGGCGGGAAAGAUAGUCGUAUGUGAAACCUGACGGCUCAACUGUCAGCCUGCAUACGAAACUACUUACCUUGAGUUUGGGAGAGGAGAGCGGAAUUCCUGGUGUAGCGGUGGAAUGCGUAGAUAUCAGGAAGAACACCGGAGGCGAAGGCGGCUCUCUGGCCCGAUACUGACGCUGAAGCGCGAAAGCUAGGGGAGCAAACAGGAUUAGAUACCCUGGUAGUCC